rnacentral:tRNA from 1 species
GGAAUUGUGGCUCAGUGGUAGAGUGCUUGCCUAGCAUGCAUGAGGCACUGGGUUCGAUCCCCAGCACCA